GUGACAGAAGAGAGUGAGCACACAUGGUGUUUCUUGCAAGAUAAAGAUUCAUGCUUGAAGCCAUGCGUGCUUACUCUCUAUCUGUCAC
rfam:Vigna angularis cultivar Jingnong 6 chromosome 4, whole genome shotgun sequence.